UAACCGGCUAUUUUGUCUUCCAAGGAUUCUUAAAAUCUUAAUGGCUUGUUUACAUCCUCCCAUACGACCUUUUUUUAAAAAAAAGAAGCAGCAUGCGUAGCUGGAGAACAAGUAUUUGUUUUGCUUGAAUAAGACGUAACACUUCAUAUUUUUCGACGGAGAUAAAUUCUUCUUCUCAUUGACUACCUAUCAAUGGAUAUUCAUGACAUUCCACUUGUAUUGCUCCGUCAACUUCCAGGAAUUGAUUAAUAAACGAAGAAGAUCAUUUAUCUCCAGGGACAUUAUUUAUCCAGUGACUCAUGCAGCAGCUUUAAUGACUUCAGUAAUUUCGGAUUAAUACUGGGAAAUAGCAUGCAUUAAGAAGAGGAAACUGAAUGAAUUGAUUGACGGUAUCACAAGCAAAAGGAGUCCAUUGAAAGUGUGAAACGCAAGUAAAGUAAUGACAGUUACAAAAAGAAGUCUUUUGUUCACUCUCAUAUAAAUUGUUUGGAUCAUCAUUAAUCCUCAUUUCUGGGUCAUGAAACAGAAAUGAAGUUUAAGAAAACAGCCAAGAUAAUUCUGAUAAAAAAAAAUUAUCAAUCAAUCUUUCAUCCAAAAGGUGCACCAUUUCAGCUUCUU